UCCUCGGUAGCUCAAUGGUGGAGCAUUCGACUGUUAAUCGAAGGGUUCCUGGUUCGAGUCCAGGCCGGGGAGCCA
rnacentral:tRNA from 3 species